GCCGAUGUAGCUCAGCUGGUCAGAGCAGCUGAUUUGUAAUCAGCAGGUCGGGGGUUCGAAUCCCUCCAUCGGCU
rnacentral:tRNA from 1 species